AUUGAACGCUGGCGGCAGGCCUAACACAUGCAAGUCGAGCGGAUGAAGGGAGCUUGCUCCUGGAUUCAGCGGCGGACGGGUGAGUAAUGCCUAUGAAUCUGCCUGGUAGUGGGGGAUAACGUCCGGAAACGGGCGCUAAUACCGCAUACGUCCUGAGGGAGAAAGUGGGGGAUCUUCGGACCUCACGCUAUCAGAUGAGCCUAGGUCGGAUUAGCUAGUUGGUGGGUUAAAGGCCUACCAAGGCGACGAUCCGUAACUGGUCUGAGAGGAUGAUCAGUCACACUGGAACUGAGACGCGGUCCAGACUACUACGGGAGGCAGCAGUGGGGAAUAUUGGACAAUGGGCGAAAGCCUGAUCCAGCCAUGCCGCGUGUGUGAAGAAGGUCUUCGGAUUGUAAAGAACUUUAAGUUGGGAGGAAGGGCAGUAAGUUAAUACCUUGCUGUUUUGACGUUACCAACAGAAUAAGCACCGGCUAACUUCGUG
rnacentral:rRNA from 1 species